UACAGAGGUCUCAAGCGUUGUUCGGAUUCAUUGGGCGUAAAGGGUGCGUAGGCGGCGCGGUAAGUCGGGUGUGAAAUCUCGGGCUUAACUCCGAAACUGCAUUCGAUACUGCCGUGCUUGAGGACUGGAGAGGAGACUGGAAUUUACGGUGUAGCGGUGAAAUGCGUAGAUAUCGUAAGGAAGACCAGUGGCGAAGGCGGGUCUCUGGACAGUUCCUGGACGCUGAGGCACGAAGGCCCAGGGGGAGCAAAACGGG
rnacentral:rRNA from 1 species